UGCCAGCCGCCGCGGUAAUACAUAGGGGUCAAGCGUUGUCCGGAUUUAUUGGGCGUAAAGCGCGCGUAGGCGGUUAUUUAAGUCAGAUGUGAAAGCCCCGGGCUCAACCUGGGAAUUGCCUCUGAUACUGGGUAACUAGAGUUUGGAAGAGGAGAGUAGAAUUUCAGGUGUAGCGGUGAAAUGCAUAGAGAUCUGAAGGAAUACCAGUGGCGAAGGCGGCUCUCUGGUCCAAAACUGACGCUGAGGUGCGAAAGCGUGGGUAGCAAACGGGAUUAGAUA
rnacentral:rRNA from 1 species